AGCGGGAUUAUAUAUAAGAUAUUAGUGUAAACAAUAUCAAAGGAGAGCAGAUAGAGAUUUCCCAAAAUCAGUUAAUCCGAGGUGUUUUUAAAGCUUUACAGUCAAUCCAGUUACAUGAGACAUGAAUGUAAUUAGAAGCACUUCUUUGUAUUUUAUCCAACUUUAUAUUCCAUUUUAAAGAGAGGUACAUGCACACUUCUUCAUGGUGGAGUUAUUAUUUUGACCUCUACUUCAGUACCUUUUAUGCAGAUCUGCUGUACAUGAACUGAUUCUCACUCUGACACGGUGGGGGUGGAGGCAAGUUUUAUACACAGUAAUAAGCUACAGAAGGUGAAAUGGUGGUUAAAUAUCUUUGUACAGCCGGUACAGAUGUAAUUGUUCAUUUGGAUCCCUGAUAUUUGGCAAAUACACAACCAGCUUUAUCUUUUUUUUUUAGUUUUCUUUCUUCUUCUUCUUCUUCUUCUUCUUUUUUUUUUUUUUACCUCUGUGUUUUGUCUGUAUGUCUUUCACUCCUGAACAAGGAGCACAGAGGUUUUUUUUUUGUUUGUUUUUUUUAAAUAAUGGUGAACAAAAGGAGCAGCUAGUAAAAUAAAAAUGAAAAAGCUACGCUUCUAAAUAGAUGUACGCUAUUGGUUUUUCCAUAUAUAUGGUAAUUAUGAUAUAUCUAUUAUGGCAUCUGUGUAUUCACAUUCACAUUAAUUUAUUUACUGUCACUGACAUUCUUGCUGUUAAAGAAAUGUUUAGUGAGUCGCGCGUUUUCCUCCUAACUUUCAGUUCCUUUGUUCAAGUGUUUUGAAGCACUUUUCCUGCCAGCAGCAGCAUUUCAAUGAACAAACUGGGUGGAUUUAAGUCCCAUUAAGUGGGUAUUGGAUGCUCUUCUUUGUUCCAACUUCACUUCCUGAUUUAGGAUGAUAACACAUGUAUUUAUAAAAAUGACUCCUCUAAAUCACUGUCUUUUUGAGUAAACACAAAGAGCCAGUUCUUCUAUUUAAUUCAUUCUGGUGUGAGCUUUAUAAGGAUCUUAUGCUUAAGUCUUUGGGAUGAAUGAUUAUUCCACAAAGCCAUUAUAAGCUAAAUUGUUUAGGCAGAAACUGACAUUCUUCCAGGAGUUUGUCUAAACCUAAUUUGUGCUUAUUAACUUUCUUUUAUUCUAUAAAGUAUCUCUCCCUUCACUGGCUGCGUACUUUAAACCUCUUCUGUUCUUUUCAGUUGAAGCUGUGACCUUAAAGAAUUUCUUGCAAAAGCUUUUCA
ensembl:lncRNA